rnacentral:lncRNA from 1 species
GUUCAUUAGCAUAUGGAUAUCGGCUCUGUGAUGACGUCAUCGUGAUGGAUAAUUAAUGGGUUAUCAAUGCAUUAAUGACUGCAACAUCGCCCACAGAGCCCAUUGACCCCAUUGACCCCCAUUGAUCCCCAUUGACCCCCAUUGAUCCCCAUUGAUCCCCAUUGACCCCCAUUGAUCCCCAUUGAUCCCCAUUGAUCCCCAUUGACCCCCAUUGAUCCCCAUUGACCCCCAUUGACUUCCAUUGAUCCCCAUUGACCCCCAUUGAUCCCCAUUGAUCCCCAUUGACCCCCAUUGAUCCCCAUUGACCCCCAUUGAUCCCCAUUGAUCCCCAUUGACCCCCAUUGAUCCCCAUUGACUCCCAUUAUGUCCCAGCGGUACCGGUGCCGGUACGAGCGGCUGCGCCGCGCCGCGCGCGCUCUGGUGCUGGAGUCUGGAGCUCUGUGAGACACUGCCCAUUGACCCCUAUUGAUCCCCAUUGAUCCCCAUUGAUCCCCAUUGAUCCCCAUUGAUCCCCAUUGAUCCCCAUUGAUCCCCAUUGAUCCCCAUUGAUCCCCAUUGACUCUCAUUGAUCCCCAUUGACCCCCAUUGACCCCCAUUGAUCCCCAUUGAUCCCCAUUGAUCCCCAUUGACCCCCAUUGAUCCCCAUUGAUCCCCAUUGAUCCCCAUUGAUCCCCAUUGAUCCCCAUUGAUCCCCAUUGACUCUCAUUGAUCCCCAUUGACCCCCAUUGAUCCCCAUUGAUCCCCAUUGAUCCCCAUUGACUCUCAUUGAUCCCCAUUGACCCCCAUUGAUCCCCAUUGAUCCCCAUUGAUCCCCAUUGACUCUCAUUGAUCCCCAUUGACCCCCAUUGACUCUCAUUGACCCCCAUUGAUCCCCAUUGAUCCCCAUUGAUCCCCAUUGACUCCCAUUGACUCCCAUGAUGUCCCACCGGUACCGGUGCCGGUACGAGCGGCUGCGCCGCGCCGCCCGCGCUCUGGUGCUGGAGUCUGGAGCUCUAUGUGAUGAACUCGCCAGGAUCGAGGCCAAGGUUCUCCGAGCGCGGCAGGAACGGAGGCUGCUGCUGACCCGGCUGCUGCGGCGCAGGAUGGGGGAUGGGAGCGGGACAGCAGCGGCUGUGGGGUCUAUGGGGUCAUCUAUGGGGUCUAUGGGAUCAUCUAUGGGGUCUAUGGGAUCAUCAAUGGGGUCUAUGGGGUCUAUGGGAUCAUCAAUGGGGUCUAUGGGGUCAUCUAUGGGGUCUAUGGGGUCAUCAAUGGGGUCUAUGGGAUCAUCAAUGGGGUCUAUGGGACCAAUGGGAUCAUCAAUGGGGUCUAUGGGAUCAAUGGGAUCUAUGGGAGCAACAACGGCAUCAAUGGGAUCAUCAAUGGCAUCAAUAGGAUCAUCAAUGGCAUCAAUGGGAUCAUCAAUGGCAUCAAUAGGAUCAUCAUUGGCAUCAAUGAGAUCCACAACGGCAUCAAUGGCGUCAUCAAUAGGAUCAAGGGCAUCAAUAGGAUCAAUGGGAUCAAGGGCACCGCAAUCAACGCCAAUGGUAACGGCAUCAAUGACACUGCAACCAAUGGCGUCAACGGCAUCAAUGACGUCAUCAAUGACGUCAUCAAUGACAUCGUCGAUGACAUCAUCAAUGACAUCAUCAAUGACAUCAACAGCAUCAAUGGCACCUACAACACCAUCAAUGGCACCAACAGCAUCAACGGCAUCAAUGACAUCAUCGAUGACGUCAUCAAUGACGUCAUCAACGGCACCUCAACGGCAGGGGGAUGGGAAUGGGGAGGAAGGGAGCAGGGGGGCAGGGGAUGGGGCUAUGGGGUCAAUGGGGGGGUCCAUAGGGGCAAGGGAUGGGGGUAUGGGGUCUAGGGGUGAAUCUAUGGGGUCUAGGGGUGAAUCUAUGGGGCCUAGGGGUGAAUCUAUGGGGCCUAGGGGUGAAUCUAUGGGGUCUAGGGAUGGAUCUAUGGGGCCUAGGGGUGAAUCUAUGGGGCCUAGGGGUGAAUCUAUGGGGUCUAGGGGUGAAUCUAUGGGGCCCAGGGAUGGGUCUAUGGGGUCAAGAGCAGGGUCCAUGCCCCCCUUUAGGGAUGGGGCAUCACCAGCCUCCCCCAUAGACAACACUGGCAAUGGGGCCAGACCUAUGGGGCCAAGCUCCGCCCCAAGCUCCGCCCCCCCGAGGGCCUCAGCCAAUAGGAGAGCCCCAUGGAGCAUCCAGGACUUGGGGGGCAGGCGGCGGGGGGGCGGGGCCGGAGGGGGGCGGAGCCUCCCGGGGCAGCCAAUGGGAGCAGGGGAGGUGUUCGGGCUCGGGCACCCAUUGGUCCAGCAGCUGCUGCGGGAGGAGGAGGAGGAGGAGGAGGAGGAAGAUGGAGCUGAUGCCUUCACCUAUGGGGAGCUGUUCUUGGGCAGCCCCACAGGCUCUGAGUGACCCAAAAUGGCAUUAAAUGGACCCAAAAUGAUGGUGAUGUGGUGGUGGGGUCCAUAGGGAUGCAUUGACUCCAUAGGGAUGCAUUGAGUCCAUAGGGAUGCAUUGACUCCAUAGGGAUGCAUUGAGUCCAUAGGGAUGCAUUGACUCCAUAGGGAUCCAUUGGUGGUGGGGUCCAUAGGGAUGCAUUGAGUCCAUUGGGAUGCAUUGAGUCCAUAGGGAUGCAUUGAUUCCAUAGGGAUCCAUUGACUCCAUAGGGACCCAUUGACUCCAUAGGGACCCAUUGACUCCAUAGGGACCCAUAGACUCCAUAGGGAUCCAUUGAUGGUGUCCAUAGGGAUGCGUUGGUGGUGUCCAUAGGGAUGCAUUGACUCCAUAGGGCCCCAUUGACUCCAUAGGGAUGCAUUGACCCCAUAGGGAUCCAUUGAUGGUGUCCAUAGGGAUGCGUUGGUGGUGUCCAUUGGGAUCCAUUGAGUCCAUAGGGACCCAUUGACUCCAUAGGGACUCAUUGACCCCAUAGGGACCCAUUGACUCCAUAGGGAUCCAUUGACUCCAUAGGGACCCAUUGACUGCAUAGGAACCCAUUGACCCCAUAGGGACCCAUUGACUCCAUAGGGAUCCAUUGACUCCAUAGGGACCCAUUGACUGCAUAGGAACCCAUUGACCCCAUAGGGAUCCAUUGACUCCAUAGGGACCCAUUGACUCCAUAGGGACCCAUUGACUCCAUAGGGACCCAUUGACCCCAUAGGAACCCAUUGACUCCAUAGGGACCCAUUGACUCCAUAGGGACCCAUUGGUGGUGUCCAUAGGGAUCCCCAUUGACUCCCAUUGAUCCCCAUUGCCCCCAUUGACUCCAUAGGGAUCCAUUGAUGCUCUUUAUUGGCCAAUGAGCAUCCCUCCCUCCCCAUCCGAGCCCUCUCAUUGGCUGCCAUCGGAGCGCUCCCAUUGGCUGCCGCGGCCGGAGCCCUCUCAUUGGCUGCCAUUGGAGCGCUCCCAUUGGCUGCCGCGGCCGGAGCCCUCUCAUUGGCUGCUGCCGCCAUCCGAGCGCUCCCAUUGGAUGUUGUGGUGGAUCCGGGUGACAUCCGGAUGGUUCCGGAGCUCCUGGACCAGUAACCGGCUCCAGUUCCCAUCCGGAUGCACCAGUUGGAUACUGGGAACAGGCUCCGGAUGGGCCGAGAGCAGCUGGAGGCCUGAGGCCUGGAGAUGGGCACGGACAUGGGGCAGGGACUGGGGGGGGCACAGGAACUGCAAUGGGAUCAAUGGGGUUAAUGGGAUCAAUGGGAGUCAAUGGGAUCAAUGGGAUCAAUGGGGAUCAAUGGGGAUGAAUGGGGAUCAAUGGGAUCAAUGGGGAUCAAUGGGGUUAAUGGGAUCAAUGGGGGUCAAUGGGGAUCAAUGGGAUCAAUGGGGAUCAAUGGGGUUAAUGGGAUCAAUGGGGUCAAUGGGGGUUAAUGGGGAUCAAUGGGAUCAAUGGGGAUCAAUGGGAUCAAUGGGGAUCAAUGGGAUCAAUGGGGAUCAAUGGGGGUCAAUGGGAUCAAUGGGGAUCAAUGGGGGUUAAUGGGGAUCAAUGGGAUCAAUGGGGAUCAAUGGGAUCAAUGGGGAUCAAUGGGAUCAAUGGGGAUCAAUGGGGAUCAAUGGGGUUAAUGGGAUCAAUGGGGUCAAUGGGGAUCAAUGUGUGGUUGGGGAUGGUCAAGGGAUCUCCAAGCAUGGUUGGUGCCACCAUCAGGACCCCCCAUAUCCCCCCAUACCCCCCAUUACCCCCAUAGACCCCAUAGACCCCAUUAGCCCCAUAACCUCCAUAGCCCCAUAUCCCCCCAUAUCCCCCCAUAACCCCAUAGACCCUAUAGCCCCCAUACCCCUCAAAACCCCCAUUACCCCCAUAACCCCAUAUCCCCCCAUAUCCCCUAUGGCCCCAUAGCUCCCCAUAGCCCCCCAUUAACCCCAUAACCCCCAUAGACCCCAUAGCCCCAUUACCCCCAUACACCCCAUUGCCCCCAUUACCCCCAUAGCCCGAUAGCCCCCAUAUCCCCCUUUAACCCCAUAACCCCCAUAUCCCCUAUAGCCC